CACACUCGCUCUCGCCGCUCUGACACACACUCUCUACUUAGUGCGCUGGAGAGAGGACUGAGGCUCACACUAUCAGCGCAGCUUCUCAAUGGGGGGACGCAGCCAAGAGCAGACAGAGCAGUCAUUCCACUGGAGCCUUCCGCUGCACGCGUGAGAGGGAGCCGACAAGUGAGAGGGGCUAAAUUAGCUCCCUGUCACCACACCACAUAGGAGUCCUACUGACGGAGAGGAGGCACACACACUCGAGGAAGGAGAGGAUGUUGCACGUAUGUGGCUGAUACAGCAGUGACAUGAUCAGCCUCAAAUCCUGGUCAGUUUGUGACACAGACCCCCGGGUGUUUUGGUGACUGUGUUGGUAAGGAUUUCAAAAGGAAGUGAGCAGCGGGGGGGACGGGGGACAGCUUUUCAGCCCCCUUUUGUGCGGUGGUCGGCUUAUCUGGUACUGGAAUUUCGGGCGGGAAUCCCUGGCUUCAAAGUAUGGAUGGAUUUAAGACAGAGGAGUGAGUCUGCUGGGCAGACAGUGAUUCUGGCUGAGCUCCUUUCCUUCUGAACACACUGCUCAGACUCGGCCCUACCAUGUCCUGGUUGUUGGCCAUGUGGAUUAGCCUCGGCUUCCUGCUGCUGUGCCAGGCCACGCUCUACCAGACCAUCCAGCAGCACCACGUGGCACGGCCCGGUCGCACCGACAUCCUCACCCUGGAGGGAGGUACGUGUGAGGUGAUUGCCGCCCACCGAUGCUGUAACAAGAAUCGUAUUGAGGAGCGUUCUCAGACGGUCAAGUGCUCCUGUUUACCGGGGAAAGUGGCCGGGACGACACGCAACAAACCCUCCUGUGUGGAUGCGUCCAUUGUAAUUGGGAAAUGGUGGUGUGAGAUGGAACCAUGUCUGGAGGGAGAAGAGUGUAAGACUCUGCCUGACAACUCUGGAUGGAUGUGCUCCUCUGGGAACAAAAUCAAGACUACAAGAAACACCCAGCCAUACUCCCCUUUUUAGCUUCCGGAAGCAAAAUGCAGAGGAUGGGUCAACAGAAAUUGAGCUGCAUUCUUGCUUCUGUAAAGAUUCAUCCCAGGACCUAACAGAGAGCUCACCAUUGCAGGGCUGCGUGCCAGGCUCUUCCCUUCAUCUACCCUUUCUCUUCCCGCCGAACGGACUAAAACUAUUACAUCCACGUCUACUGACUGGAUUACCUGGGACCACAGAAAGGAUAUCCACCCAGAUAAAACAGCUUUGCUCGCGUGGUGCCAAGGAUUUGAAACCAGACUAAUCCCCUGUUUGAUCAAUGAGCCCCAUGUUGGUGACUCUCCUCUUCCACACAGCUGUGGCCAGUUUCCGACCUACUCUCUCUCUCUCCGUUUCCCCCCUCAUACACACUCUGUGUCCCGCUCAAAAACUGAAACAGCUUAGCAGGGGUUAUUUAGAGGUUGUUAAAACAUUAUUUGAAGACAUUCGCCCCUGCCUGAAGGUAAACCGGUUUAGGAGCUUACAUGGACCUGAACAUAUGGGAUCCACAGAACUGAGGGGCAAAAGGAGGGAAAUUACCUUGAUAUCCUUGUGUUUCUGUGUGGAAGGCUAUUGUGUUUGACUCGCUGCCGCAGCUGGAUGGCCUUUGCUGGUUGAAAAACCCUGGAUUUUCAGUGACGGAGACCACUAGCAGCCUAUAAUGAGUUAAUGAAGAGUCCUCAUGGCCUCACCUUCAUCCUUCACGAUGGACAUUUUGACUUUUAUUCGUGGGCAUGCCCGAUGUAAAUCCAUGAGCACUUCUUUUUCUUUGUAUGUAAGAUAAUUUGUGUAUAUAUACAUAUAUAAAUACAUCACAUAUAAGACGACAGAUCCAAGAAGCUGAAGAAUAUAUUUAAGACUCUAUUAGGAGCUCGAGCCCCCCCGGUGGAUUAUUGACCAGCCACUGAAUAUAAGAGGCCCAAUAUGGUGUGUGUGUGUGUGUGUGUAUAGGACUAUGCUUGCUUUGGAAAAAGCCACAAACAGAGUCAUAAAAAUAAAGUAUUGGUCACUUUCGUCAUUCAGCAAUGUCCUUGGUUGAGCCAGAAAAUGCUUGUAGUUUCAGUAAAGAUGAGGAAAACACUGUAUAGAACUGCCUCACAGAAGAAAGCAGCACUAACAACGACCCCUGAGCUUUCCACUCAGAUACAGUAGGGUCACGGAACAGCAGCCGGACCAUAAUCGGACAGUUAGUGUCUAUUUCUGCUGUAGGAAAGUGGUCAUGGACGACUGUGUCUGUCGUGUAGAUCUCCCGCUCACACACCGGAGAGAGAUGAUUUAUUCCAAAUGACAGUGAGAAAGUAUAGUCACAAUGGAGAAACAUACAGUUAUCCCCCCCAGUAGAUAUAAGUACAUUACAGGACAGCCUUAUGAGAAAUAAAAAUGGUUUUCUAUACUGA